CAAAACAAAACAAAAACUUUUAAAAAUAGAAUAUAUUCAUGAUCAUAUAAAAAUUUUCUUCAGAUAUCUCAAAACUAUUGAGAGUCAUGAUUCUAUUCUACCAAUUAAAAUAAGCCAGGACAAAGAAGUAUAGUCCUUUGGUUAGUGUAUUAGUUUCCUAUAAUAAUUUCCCUAUAAGACUGCUGUAACAAAUUAGCAUAAAUUGGGAGGCUGAAAACAACGGAAAGGUGUUCUCUUAUGGGUCUGGAAGCUGUAAGUCCACAGUCAAGGUGUAGGCAGUGGUUGCUGCAGUCCUUAGUGUCCCUUGGUGACACUAUCCCCUUGUCAUGUGGGUCCGUGACUUCUCUUUUUGUGUGUGUGGGGAGGGGAGACGGGAUUGGAAAUGAAAUCCAGGGUGACAUCCCCCAUCUUUUUUGUGUGGAGACAGGGCCUCACUAAAUUGCCAAAUCUGGCCUUGAACUUGCAAUCCUCCUGCCUCCGCCUCCUGAGUAGCAGGGAUUAGAGGUGUGUGCCACCGCGCCCAGCUGAAAUCUCUCUCUUCUUGUAAAGACACUGGUCAUUGGAUUAGUGCUCCAGCAUGAUCUCAUCUUCCCUUGGGGGAUUAAAAAGGACCUAUUUCCAAAUAAGAUCAAAUUCACAGGUAUCGGGGUUGGGAUUUGAACAUAUGGUUUAUAGGGACUCAAUGCCAUCCAUCACAGUGAGUUUACAAGCAGGAUAUUGCUACCUCGAGUUAAAUACACUUAAAACUACCAAAGGCCAUAACUUUCAGACAAAAAGGAAGACAGCAUGGUGUUUGGUGAUGAAAUAGUCAAGAAUCUUUUUUCAGAGAAGCCCUCUAGGAGUUCUUCCCCUCCAGAGAGGGACACCAUAUAAUCACAUUUUUGAGCCUCUAUUUCUGUGUGGUAGGCACCAUCAGUCUGAUUAAUACGAUGUACAUGACUGUUUUCUGUUAGGGCUGUGGGGAAUGAGAGGCAGAGCAUCGAAGGAAUGUUCUCAUGGGCCCUAAGAGGGUCAGGGUAAGCUAUAGAUGGAGGCACCCUAAUUCUGGUCCCAAGAGCAAGACUGCUGGUGUGGAAGGAUGGGGAGGGGAGGCGGGGGACAGAUGCUUCCUGCCUUCUCUCUGUACCUGCCACGGUCUAUUGGAGCUGCUCUUUCUGUUUGUGCAGUGUUGCCUCCAGCACCUCAGCAAAUUUCUGACCAAUGGACAGAGUUAAAAUAAGCCACUCAUACAAUAUUCUACAACAGGGACCCAUUGUCACGGAGGUCAGGUGGCCACCAGCUAAGCAUUAUUGUCCUGAUCUGUACCGUCCAUUGUUUUGUUGUCGGAUGAAACCAUGAAAUGUGAGCCUUCUUUCUGCAUCUGGAAAUAAACAACCAAACUGAACUCGGUCCCACGCUACCCCAGAUGCCGUCUUUUCCCUCAACAGCCUUGUUUUUCCAGCUUCCCCUCAAAAACCAUUUUAUUCCCUCAAUCACAACUAUGUGCUAGCUUUAGAAAACUGAUCACCCAACGUCACAGCAGAUAGCAGCUCUCUUUGUUUCCUUUAGGAUCUCCAGACCCUCGAGAGGCAAGUCCUAUGGCCUGAAGAUUGCAUCUUCAUGUAAGAGAAAAACAAAUAACCAGAUUUCUUCUGUCUCUUCUGCCUUAAAAAUGAAAUUUUAUAUGAUUUAUUUUUUCAACGCUAAGAUAAACAUGUAAUCUUUCAUAUUCUCUCUCCCUCUCCCUCCCCCCCCCUCUCUCUCUCUCAUCACACAUUUAAAACUGUGUUUAUUGAAUAUCUCGUUUUUCGUUUGGGAGAUGCCAGAAGAGCCUGAGGCCCUUCAGCCUCGCUUAUUCUGGAGGCAGAAAAAAGUGGAGCCCAAACCUGGAGCCUGAAAGUUCUCUCCGACACACAGCCCAGGCCAAGAACAAUUUACUGCUGAUUCCUUUUAGAAGAUUUUGUUCAUCAGAACUGUUUCCCACAAGAUCCUCUUUCAAUUCUGCAAUCUCUCCUCACACCACCGCCCCCCAGUCCUGUGAACUGCUCCUAAAGCCCCAAUUACAUCUGCAUCUUAUUAGACAAUCAUGAUCUGCCGCGCAGGACCCAGCAACCACUGGAAUGAGCAGCUUAUCAUUUAAUUCCACUCACCCACCCCUCCCCUGCCUCCACAGAGGGGUGCUCUUUGCAGACAAAGGAUAAGUCUUAUCCAUCUCCACAUCUGGGACUGAUACUCUCUAUUUAUUUGCAACAACUGAAAUAAUGUCUGCCCCAUAGUAGGUGUCCAAGACAUCUGUAUAGUGUCUGAAGUACUUUGGGCUGAAGUAUCAGGCAGAGAGUAGAGACAGGAACCAAAUAUUAGUCCUAUCAUCUCUCAAUCUGGAAACUGUCCUUAGACCAUGAGAUGCUCUAUGACUGGUGGUGCCUGGUGGCGUCUCCAUGGCGACGGAGGAAGGUGCAGCAGUUCUCUAGGAGGGUCCCUCCCAAGCGGACCAGAGUGCGCUCACCACCCCUUUGCCUGCCUUUACUCGUCUUUGCCAAAUCAAACCAUGUACCCAAGGUCCAGGUGGAUCUCACAGAGGAUCUCUCAGGAGCCAAAGAAACGUGGCACUCACACAACUCCCCUGCACUGGCCCUAAUGGAGAGGUCCUGGAACAAGGCCUCCAGAAAGAGGGCGCCCACAAACAUGCUCCUUCUGUCCCCGAUUCUGCCCGUCUGCCCUCUCUGCCCUCUUCCUCCUCACCCGCUCUCCUGCAACUAGACCGGAUGCCCUACCCUUUUUCUCUUCAUGGCUCACCCUUCACCCGAACCCCGGGGAUUUUUUUGUUUUGUUUUGCCUGCUUACUCUAUCAGCUCCUGAAAAAUGUGGCCUAAAAUCUCCCACUAUUAUUGUCCACUCCCCUUUUUAUUUGUGUCCAUGUUGUCAUGCAUUUUAAGUUAUUUUAUCAGGUGCCAGACAACACACACAUGGAAAAAUUACAGAUAGAAUUUGUGAAUCCGAAUGAUGAAAAGCUUGAGCCUUGCUUCUGACAAGCAGUUUAGGGUCUGGCAGAUGUCAUUAAUCCAGUGGUUUUCAACCAGAGGGGAUUAGUGGGCACCUGGCACACCACUGGAAUCCCAGCUACUUGAGAGGCUGAGGCAGGACAGCAUUACAAGUUUGAGGUCAGCCAGGGCAAUUUAGCAAGACCCUGAUUCAAAAUGAAAACCAAAAAAAAAAAAAGGGGGGGACAUUUGGCCCUGUCUGAAUGCGGUUUGGGUC